UACGUAGGGGGCGAGCGUUGUCCGGAUUUAUUGGGCGUAAAGAGCUCGUAGGCGGUUUGGCAAGUCGGGUGUGAAAACUCCGGCUCAACUCGGAGACGCCACUCGAUACUGCCAUGACUCGAGUCCGGUAGGGGAGUGCGGAAUUCCUGGUGUAGCGGUGAAAUGACGCAGAUAUCAGGAGGAACACCGAUGGCGAAGGCAGGUCUCUGGGCCACUACUGACGCUGAGAAGCGAAAGCAUGGGGAGCGAACAGG
rnacentral:rRNA from 1 species